rnacentral:tRNA from 1 species
GGCCCCUUCAUCUAACGGUUAGGAUUCAUGGUUUUCAUCCAUGCCACAGGGGUUCGAAU